rnacentral:ncRNA from 1 species
AGUGAAAAAGCUAAACCCGUCGUGAGGCGGGGACGGAAAGCCGCGGGUCUUCAUCGUGAAGACAGCCGGGUUGCCACCA